CCUACGGGAGGCAGCAGUGAGGAAUAUUGGUCAAUGGACGAGAGUCUGAACCAGCCAAGUAGCGUGAAGGAUGACUGCCCUAUGGGUUGUAAACUUCUUUUAUAUGGGAAUAAAAUGUUCCACGUGUGGGAUUUUGUAUGUACCAUAUGAAUAAGGAUCGGCUAACUCCGUGCCAGCAGCCGCGGUAAUACGGAGGAUCCGAGCGUUAUCCGGAUUUAUUGGGUUGAAAGGGAGCGUAGGUGGAUUGUUAAGUCAGUUGUGAAAGUUUGCGGCUCAACCGUAAAAUGGCAGUUGAAACUGGCAGUCUUGAGUACAGUAGAGGUGGGCGGAAUUCGUGGUGUAGCGGUGAAAUGCUUAGAUAUCACGAAGAACUCCGAUUGGGAAGACAGUUCACUGGACUGCAACUGACACUGAGGCUCGAAAGUGUGGGUAUCAAACAGGAUUAGAUACCCUUGUAGUC
rnacentral:rRNA from 1 species